rnacentral:rRNA from 1 species
AAUACUUUGGUGGCGACCGGCGCACGGGUGCGUAACGCGUAUGCAACCUACCUUUAACAGGGGCAUAACACUGAGAAAUUGGUACUAAUUCCCCAUAACAUUCGAGAAGGCAUCUUCUUGGGUUAAAAACUCCGGUGGUUAAAGAUGGGCAUGCGUUGUAUUAGCUAGUUGGUGAGGUAACGGCUCACCAAGGCAACGAUACAUAGGGGGACUGAGAGGUUAACCCCCCACAUUGGUACUGAGACACGGACCAGACUCCUACGGAAGGCAGCAG